rnacentral:rRNA from 1 species
CGUAGGGUGCAAGCGUUGUCCGGAAUUAUUGGGCGUAAAGAGCUCGUAGGCGGUUUGUCGCGUCUGCUGUGAAAACUCGGGGCUUAACCCCGGGCCUGCAAUGGGUACGGGCAGACUAGAGUGCGGUAGGGGAGACUGGAAUUCCUGGUGUAGCGGUGAAAUGCGCAGAUAUCAGGAGGAACACCGGUGGCGAAGGCGGGUCUCUGGGCCGUAACUGACGCUGAGGAGCGAAAGCGUGGGGAGCGAACAGGAUUAGAUACCCUGGUAGUCCACGCCGUAAACGUUGGGCGCUAGGUGUGGGGCUCUUUCCACGAGUUCCGUGCCGCAGCAAACGCAUUAAGCGCCCCGCCUGGGGAGUACGGCCGCAAGGCUAA